GGCAUAUAUGUAGGCAGAACACUGUA
rnacentral:piRNA from 1 species